UACAGAUUUAAUAACCGGAUGUUACAAUUUAUAGUAAUACACAGUACAGUGGUGGAAGUGUAAUUUCAACUAAUAUUCAUCAUUUAUACAUAUUUCUGUAUAAAAUAAAAUUAUGACUAUGUUUUUGCAUACAUAAAUUAUUCAACUAUAUAUAAAACUAUAAAUUUUCACCAGUAUAUAGAGUAGAGGAAAAUUACUAUGUGAGAAGCUGAAUUAUGGAGAUUGUUAUAUCCAAGCAUUAGAUUGUGAUGAUCUGAUCAACAAUAAAUUAUAAUCGAAAGCAAUAUUCAACAAUACUCAACUUUCAAAGGGAAAUAAGUUUAUUCUCCACACAAAUUUGUAAACAAAAAUGUGAUAUUUUAACGAAUACGAAAAGAAAAUUUAAA